rnacentral:rRNA from 1 species
CGGAGAGUUUGAUUCUGGCUCAGAACGAACGCUGGCGGCGUGGAUAAGACAUGCAAGUCGAACGAAGAAUAUUCGGUAGCAAUACUGGGUAUUUUUAGUGGCGAAAGGGUGCGUAACACGUGGGUAAUCUACCGUAAAGUUCGGAAUAACUUCGAGAAAUCAAAGCUAAUACCGAAUGUGAUCUGACAGGGACAUCCCUGUUCCAUUAAAGCUGGGGACCUUCGGGCCUGGCGCUUUACGAUGAGCCCGCGCCCUAUCAGCUUGUUGGUGAGGUAAAAGCUCACCAAGGCUAAGACGGGUAGCCGGUCUGAGAGGACGAUCGGCCACACUGGAACUGAGACACGGUCCAGACACCUACGGGUGGCAGCAGUCGAGAAUCAUUCACAAUGGGGGAAACCCUGAUGGUGCGACGCCGCGUGGGGGAUGAAGGNCUUCGGNNUGUAAACCCCUGUCAUNUGUGANNAANNCUUNUNGUNUAANAGNUACNANNNNUGAUANUANCANAAGAGGAAGGGACGGCUAACUCNGUGCCAGCAGCCGCGGUAAUACNGAGGUCCCAAGCGUUGUUCGGAUUUACUGGGCGUAAAGGGUGCGUAGGNGGNNAGNAAAGUUUGNUGUGAAANCUNCGNGCUCAACNCGGAAANUGCAUUGAAUACUACUUGGCUUGAGGAUCGGAGGGGAGACUGGAAUUCUCGGUGUAGCAGUGAAAUGCGUAGAUAUCGAGAGGAACACCAGUGGCGAAGGCGAGUCUCUGGACGAUUCCUGACACUGAGGCACGAAAGCUAGGGGAGCAAACAGGAUUAGAUACCCUGGUAGUCCUAGCCGUAAACGGUGCACACUUGCUGUAGGAGGAUUCGACCCCUUCUGUGGCGGAGCAAACGCGUUAAGUGUGCCGCCUGGGGAGUACGGUCGCAAGAUUAAAACUCAAAGGAAUUGACGGGGACCCGCACAAGCGGUGGAGCAUGCGGCUUAAUUCGAUGCAACGCGAAGAACCUUACCUGGGCUUGACAUAUAGCUGCAUACGACCCGAAAGGGACGUAGCCUUCGAGGGUGCUAUACAGGUGCUGCAUGGCUGUCGUCAGCUCGUGCCGUGAGGUGUUGGGUUAAGUCCCGCAACGAGCGCAACCC